AUCCUCGCUACACUUUCUUUGGAAGCCA
rnacentral:piRNA from 1 species